rnacentral:misc_RNA from 1 species
UCCGGCUUGUCGCCGGCGGUCUCCUUAGAGUUCCCACCUUUACGUGCUGGCAACUAAGGACAAGGGUUGCGCUCGUUGCGGGACUUAACCCAACAUCUCACGACACGAGCUGACGACAGCCAUGCAGCACCUGUGUCACGGUUCCCGAAGGCACUCUCGCAUCUCUGCAAGAUUCCGUGCAUGUCAAGGCCAGGUAAGGUUCUGCGCGUUGCAUCGAAUUAAACCACAUACUCCACCGCUUGUGCGGGCCCCCGUCAAUUCCUUUGAGUUUCAGUCUUGCGACCGUACUUCCCAGGCGGCGAACUUAACGCGUUAGCUUCGAUACUGAGUGCCUAAGUGCACCCAACAUCCAGUUCGCAUCGUUUAGGGCGUGGACUAC